GUCUUUAUAAAAAUUCCAGUAGCUUCAGCUAGUCUGUCUCUAAGUAUAUAGGGCUUAUUGAGCAAUUCUAUCAUGUAAAACAAAAAAAUUCGAAACAAACAAACAGAGCCGACUUGCUGAGAGGCCGUAAUCGGUAAGGAGUUCCUGUCAGAUCAUUCAGAAGAUGACCAUAAAAAUGAAGCUCUCUCCUCAACGAAUCCCGCUUAUGUCAAGUUUGGCCGUGACUGUAAAGAAACCCAGGAAGAUGAGCCUCACUCCAGCCUGCUGAUCGCAGCACCUAAGGCAACCGCAGAAGCUCUCUCCCACACACAAGGAAGUAUGUGUACCGCCACUGUUUCUUCCCGUCCAGCAUCUGACCGUGGAGCACUGUGGCUCAAGAUGUCGUGCGUGGUCGCCUCCACCAUCAAUGCAAUCAAAACAUCAGUGAAACUGCUGUAAUAUAGACCGUUCCAUGCUUUUAAAAAGCCAAAAUCUGUGAUGUUUUUAAAUCGUUUACACUGUCCCAGAGUAUGCUUGCGUUUCCUGGAAAGUUCCACUUGGAAGAUUUUCCAUCGAGCCAUCAUAGUUUCUACAUAAUAAUGAAGAAGCGGUUGCUAUAAAUUUAUGAGCGUUUUGGUCCUUCAUGCGCACAACAUAUUACGAGAAAACGAAACUGUUCUUAUAUGCGACUAACACGUUAUUUAUCAUGAUUCAAGUAAAAAGAUGUUCAUGCUAUGAGGGUUGUGCAGUAACAUGGCCUUCGGACAGUUAUCUCUGCAAUUGACAUGACAAUAAAAAGUUACCAUGAAUUAAACAGACCAAUUCUAGCACUUCGCUUUUAAUACAUGGUAUUAUUGUUUUGUCGUCCUGAAACGUUUUCAUACUGUAGUACGUAUAUCUCUCACGGUGGGGCCGUUGGCCAUAAUAAAUAGUACAAAGUUAA